CUGCUUCCUGAAAGGAGUACUCAUAGGCGUGGUCGAUAACAUAUCGUGCUGUGGCAGUUACCUGAAAACAAUAAGAUUAAAGGACGCUGCUGGCGGCGUUCACUUUAAUCUUCGUCAACGAAACGGAUUUUUGGGUGUCGUUCAUCCAUUACCAAGGACAAUGUACCAAACAGGAGACUCCAUGCGGACCGUCCUCCCCCAGGCUGGCCCUGGAACACCUGAAGACACUGAGCUGAGAGUUGCGCAGAAGAUUGGACGGCAACUGGCAGAGAUUGGAGAUGAACUGAACCGGCAUUACCUUGAUGCCCCGCCAAACCCUUGGCUCCUCCCUGUUCUCAGAGCUGCCCACGCCCACCGCCAGGCCAGGAACCGCAUGUACAGGUGGAGACUCAAACAGAAUGCCCAUGACCACUGCAGCGCACGGACACACAUGUACACACACACACACACACACACGCAUGCACACACAUGCACACACACUCACGCAGCCAGUCCUGCCAUUCACAAAAAAAACUUAGCAUCGGUUUAUUGGACUCUUCCUUUCCCCUGGAGUUAAUUCACCUGAAGGUACACAGCUGAGUUGGUGGCAUCCAAUGUGUAUGCAUUACAGACUGCUUGAGUUCUGUUCUUGUAAAUCUCAUUAAUUCAGUUUCCUCUUGCAGUAAGAGUACCUUUGCACUUACUGUAAACAGGAGAUAGAAUCAAUAAAUUAUUAAAUCAAUCAGAUAUUCAAUUAAUUCACGACACAAGACACAAGUAGAGAGCUUAACUAAACAUCAAACUCGAAAGAUGCAGGAGCAAAAACAGCGAUGGCAGCGAUGUCUUUACAAACUCAAAAUAAAGAAAGAGAAUAUAGCUGGUGUGAUGUGACUAUAUUUCAGGCAAUUGUUGGGUCAUCAGGAGAUGCAAUGGAGCAGGCCAGGGGAGAUGUGGGUCUGGCUGACCUCUCUCCUCUGCAGGCAGUUGGUCAGAUCAGAGUGCCGGGGAUCCUGGGUCAGCUCGGGUCUGGCUAACCCCUACAGCUGGGCUGCUGGGCUGCUCACUGCUAUGCUACUGGCUACUGCAGUAGCCUGGAUCAGCUUCUGAGAAGAGGAAAUGUUAACAAUUUGCACUGAAAGGCCAUGAGCUGGUCUUUGGCCACAACAUUUUUGUAGCCUUUUUUUUUUUGUAAUUCGGUUGAUGGAAUGAAAAGAUUUUUUUUUCUAAUACAUAUAUAAUUAUUCACCCUUUUGGCUUCACUCUUUUUCACUGAAGGGAGAGAGUGUGUUUACGGGAAGUGGCUGGCUCACUGUUGGCUUCGCACCUUUAUCGUGUCUGAUAAGAGGCGUGUGUUUAUUGACGUUUGUUUCCGGUUAACGCCUCUUUGAUAACUGCUGGUGAUUAAAUGGGCCAGAGUAACUGGCUGGUUUUGGACAAACUAUAUUAUGAACAGUGUAAGGAAAGCUGGUCUUCUCUGAUGUGAAACUUUUGUAUGGACUUACAAAAAAUGAAUUAAAACAUCUGCUUAUAUGUA